AAUGAACGCUGGCGGCAGGCCUAACACAUGCAAGUCGAACGAGUGGCGGACGGGUGAGUAAUGUCUGGGAAACUGCCUGAUGGAGGGGGAUAACUACUGGAAACGGUAGCUAAUACCGCAUACCAUCGGAUGUGCCCAGAUGGGAUUAGCUAGUAGGUGGGGUAAAGGCUCACCUAGCCGACGAUCCCUAGCUGGUCUGAGAGGAUGACCAGGCACACGGGAACGGAAACGCGGUCCGGACUCCUACGGGAGGCAGCAGUGGGGAAUAGUGCACAAGGGGCGCAAGCCUGAUGCAGCCAUGCCGCGUGGAUGAAGAAGGCCUUCGGGUUGUAAAGGACUUUCAGCGGGGAGGCGGUACCCGAAGAAGAAGCACCGGCUAACUCCGUGCCAGCAGCCGCGGUAAUAC
rnacentral:rRNA from 1 species